rnacentral:rRNA from 1 species
AUUGAACGCUGGCGGCAUGCCUUACACAUGCAAGUCGAACGGCAGCACGGGUGCUUGCACCUGGUGGCGAGUGGCGAACGGGUGAGUAAUACAUCGGAACAUGUCCUGUAGUGGGGGAUAGCCCGGCGAAAGCCGGAUUAAUACCGCAUACGAUCUACGGAUGAAAGCGGGGGACCUUCGGGCCUCGCGCUAUAGGGUUGGCCGAUGGCCGAUUAGCUAGUUGGUGGGGUAAAGGCCUACCAAGGCGACGAUCAGUAGCUGGUUUGAGAGGACGACCAGCCACACUGGGACUGAGACACGGCCCAGACUCCUACGGGAGGCAGCAGUGGGGAAUGUUGGACAAUGGGCGAAAGCCUGAUCCAGCAAUGCCGCGUGUGUGAAGAAGGCCUUCGGGUUGUAAAGCACUUUUGUCCGGAAAGAAAUCCUUGGCCCUAAUACGGUCGGGGGAUGACGGUACCGGAAGAAUAAGCACCGGCUAACUACGUG